AAUAUUCAAUAUACAAAUUGCCCAAGUGGAGGGGAGUCAACCAAUGAUUCCCAUAACAAAAGAAGUUAGAUUGUCUCAAAUUUUUCACAAAUAGUAUAGGAUCCUCCACAGGUCCCAAUGAAAGGGUGCCCAAAAUCUUUGAAAGCAAAGAAUCCAAAAGAGAUGCAACCAACAAAGAAAAGGCGUUGUAGCAUUUGUAAAAAUGAGGGACAUGCUAGAAACAACUAUCCUUCAAUGAGGGAUAUUGGAUAUACAGCUGAAGUCGAUAACACUAACUUAGAUUCUUAAUCGAAAUUUGCUUAUGAGGUUUAUGAAGUUUUUGAAGCUUGUGAAGCAUUUGUGUUUUGAAGUUCAUGAGCUUUUGUGGAUUGAAGUUUGUGAAGCGUUUGUGGAGUGGAUUGACACUUGUGAAGCUUUCUUUUUUAAGUUUAUGUAUUCGGCAUCAAGUGUUUUGAACUUAUGUAAUUAUAAAUAUUUAAUGGAAGAUUGCACUUAUGUAAUUCUGAACAUGAGUUCGAUUGCACUUAUGUAAUUCUGAACAUGAGUUUUGAAAUUCAACUAUUAGUUUUGAAUUAUGG